rnacentral:misc_RNA from 1 species
AAGUCGUAACAAGGUUUCCGUAGGUGAACCUGCGGAAGGAUCAUUAUCGAGUCUUGACUGGGUUGUAGCUGGCCUUACGAGGCAUGUGCACGCCCUGUUAAUCCACUCUACACCUGUGCACUUACUGUGAGCUUUAGAGCGUGAAUGGGGCCUUUGCGGGCUCUUGAAGCGUUUCGGGCUUGCGUUCAUUACAAACUCAAAAGUAUUAGAACUGUCAAUUGCGAUACAACGCAUCUAUAUAACAA